GGCUUAGCCAAAUGGUUACGCUGUCCACUUUAUAAGUGGAUGAUCAUGGGUUUGAUUCCCAUCUUAUCCA
rnacentral:tRNA from 1 species